rnacentral:rRNA from 1 species
UACGUAGGGGGCAAGUGUUGUCCGGAUUUAUUGGGCGUAAAGAGCGUGUAGGCGGCCUGAAAGGUCAGCUGUGAAAACUCGAGGCUCAACCUCGAGACGUCGGUUGAAACCAUCUGGCUAGAGUCCGGAAGAGGAAAGUGGAAUUCCUGGUGUAGCGGUGAAAUGCGCAGAUAUCAGGAAGAACACCAAUGGCGAAAGCAGCUUUCUGGGACGGUACUGACGCUGAGACGCGAAAGCGUGGGGAGCGAACAGG